AUCAGAUCGAGCUUACCCCAAGGCCUUGGAUCAGUGAGAAUGACUUAUAUAAGACUAGAAGAAGACAGGUUGAGGGAGU
rnacentral:snRNA from 1 species